GCUGAUUCAACACCACAAACAACGUUCCUGUCUGCUGGGAAUGGGGAAAAUACAAGGAAGUGGAAGAAACUCCUUUAAAAGAGAUGGAGUCUUGAUCUGUCACCAGGCUGGAGUGCAAUGGCGUGGUCUCAGCUCACUGCAACCUCCACCUCCUGGGUUCAAGCGAUUUUCCUGCCUCAGCCUCCUGAGUAGCUGGUACUACAGGCACAUGCCACCAUGCUCAGCUAAUUUUUGUAUUUUUAGUAGAGAUGGAGUUUUGCCAUGUUGGCCAGGAUGGCUCGAUCUCUUGACCUCAGCCUCGGCCUCCCAAAGUGCUGGGAUCACAGAUGUGAGCCACUGCACCCGGCCUAAUUAAAAAAUUUUUUUUUGUAGAGACAAAGUCUUACUAUAUUGCCCAGGCUGGUCUUGAACUCUCAGCCUCAAGCAGUCCUUCCACCUCAGCCUCCCGAAGUGCUGAGAUUCCAGGCAUGAGCUACCACUCUUGGCAACCUUUCUUUUCUAUCCAGACCUAGGUCCUAGGUUCCUCAGACCUUUUGUGUAGUAGCUCCCAACUUUUCUGAACAACCCCAAUAUAUCAGACUUAAGAUAUCCUCCAUCCAUUAUUAUGUAAAGGAAAAGUCCUGUUUCCCUUCUAAUUGUAUUCCCCUUAUUUUUUAUUUUAACUUUUAAUUUUUUGGGUACAUAGUAGGCAUAUAUGUAUUUAUGGAGUACAGGAGAUAUUUUGGUACAGGAAUGCAAUGUGUAAUAAUCACGUCAUGGAAAAGAGGAUACUAUCCCCUCGAGCAUUUAUCCUUUGUGUUACCAACAAUCCAGUUAUACUCUUUUAGUUAUUUUUAAAUGUACAAUUAAGUUAUUAUGACUGGAUUCACCCUGUUUAUUUUCCUUAUUUUUAUAAUAGCUAGUCUCCAAGAUGGCGCCCAGUAUUCUUUACCUCAUGGCAUACACUUUCAUUUUACCCUCACCCCUCACUUUCUUGUAUAGCCUCCUCUCGCACUGAGUCAAAGCUGACCCAUGUGGUGGAAGUGAUGUUGUGUGACUUCCAAGACUAGGUCAUAAAGGGCAUCAAAUCUUUUGCAUUCCUCCUUUUUGAAUCCCUGGCUCUCAGGGAAGCAAGCCACCAUGCCGUGAAAACACUCAGUCAGUCCUGGCAAAACCCAUGUGUCAACAGCCAGCAACAACCCACACUUGUUGGGGUGAGCCACCUUGGAAGCAGAACCUCCUGCCCCAGUCAAGCCUCCCAAUGGCCGCAGCCUCUGCUGACAUCAGACUCUGUUCUCAUGAGCCACUAAGCCAAGCUUUUCUGAAUUUCUGAUCUGUAAAAAUUGAAGAGACAGUAAAUAUGUAUUGUCAUUUUAAGCCAUUAUGUUUUGGGGUGAUUUGUUGCAUAACAAUAAAGAAUUAAUA
rnacentral:lncRNA from 1 species